rnacentral:rRNA from 1 species
GACGAACGCUGGCGGCGUGCUUAACACAUGCAAGUCGAACGGAAAGGCCCUGCUUUUGUGGGGUGCUCGAGUGGCGAACGGGUGAGUAACACGUGAGUAACCUGCCCUUGACUUUGGGAUAACUUCAGGAAACUGGGGCUAAUACCGGAUAGGAGCUCCUGCUGCAUGGUGGGGGUUGGAAAGUUUCGGCGGUUGGGGAUGGACUCGCGGCUUAUCAGCUUGUUGGUGGGGUAGUGGCUUACCAAGGCUUUGACGGGGAGCCGGCCUGAGAGGGUGACCGGCCACAUUGGGACUGAGGUACGGCCCAGACUCCUACGGGAGGCAGCAGUGGGGAAUAUUGCACAAUGGGCGGAAGCCUGAUGCAGCAACGCCGCGUGCGGGAUGACGGCCUUCGGGUUGUAAACCGCUUUCGCCUGUGACGAAGCGUGAGUGACGGUAAUGGGUAAAGAAGCACCGGCUAACUACGUG